UUGAUUGCGAAUCGUUACCUUCAGUGCUGGUCGGUUUCGGCAAGUGCACGUUGGUGACUUUCAUCCAAUACCCUGUGAACCUUUGGCCUCUUGCUAGCUUUGGCCGGCAGAGGAUUUUUACACAAACUCGAAUGUAAUGAAAUUUAUUGUCGUGCGCAAGCACACUAAUGUA
rnacentral:misc_RNA from 1 species